UCCCAUCCAGGUGGCUGCUGUAUUUCUUCUUCUGAAUUCAGAUUACUUGCUUGAUUCCUGAGAGUGUUUGAUCAAGGAGUGAAAUACGAGGAUGGAGUUUUUACGCCAAGGCAUUUUAUUGACGCUGGCCUUAUCCUUCCUCCUUUUCACGUUGGAACCAACGUGUGUGCAAGGUCAAAUGGUGCGCGGCCAGGGUUCUAAAGGUGGUCCGCAAAAACCAAAUAGCGGCACUCCUCGCCCCGGAAACUCUGGAACAAGGAAGCCAGGUCAAGGACCACCGAAAGUUAUGUUCCCUCUGAUAUAUCGGAGGACAGGGUAAUAGCGCUGGCGACAAAGUCAUACCAGUCUCCUGUGGAACUGAGAGCAAGUUGGACAGUUGCUGAUAGCAAGGACCAGAUGGUGCGACAAUCCGCCGGGUGCACCUAGUGCCAUUAUAUGCCUUCUAGCUCAGAAGCCAUAAGAGCACCAGAGAAGUUAACCUAAUAGAAACCGUGCUAGCACUCGUCGACAAGGCUUGCCAGGGGUUGGUGUCCAGGCAUUAAUUUGGCUGCUGGUGAACGUGGUUCAAUUCGACAAUUAAGAGCGCGCUUGUGGAGACACUGUCAGUUAGACGAAACGAAAAAAAGAUAGUCUAGCCAAACUAAUGCAUAGGUGGGUGCAUUGAAGUGACAACGACAAAAUACGCCUGGGAGAUGUCUUAGUUUUUCUACGCUUUGUACAAUAUUCGCGAAUUCUUUGAGCCUGAAUAAGCGCUCGUGCAAGUACAAUAUGCACAUCGUUGCUUCGGCACACUGUUAAAACUGCUUGUCUGUUCCUUGUCAUGAAGGGCCUAAUAAAUUGUCCGAAGA
rnacentral:lncRNA from 1 species